rnacentral:rRNA from 1 species
GACGAACGCUGGCGGCGUGCCUAAUACAUGCAAGUAGAACGCUGAAGGAGGAGCUUGCUUCUCUGGAUGAGUUGCGAACGGGUGAGUAACGCGUAGGUAACCUGCCUGGUAGCGGGGGAUAACUAUUGGAAACGAUAGCUAAUACCGCAUAAGAGUAGAUGUUGCAUGACAUUUGCUUAAAAGGUGCAAUUGCAUCACUACCAGAUGGACCUGCGUUGUAUUAGCUAGUUGGUGGGGUAACGGCUCACCAAGGCGACGAUACAUAGCCGACCUGAGAGGGUGAUCGGCCACGCUGGGACUGAGACACGGCCCAGACUCUUACGGGAGGCAGCAGUAGGGAAUCUUCGGCAAUGGACGGAAGUCUGACCGAGCAACGCCGCGUGAGUGAAGAAGGUUUUCGGAUCGUAAAGCUCUGUUGUAAGAGAAGAACGAGUGUGAGAGUGGAAAGUUCACACUGUGACGGUAUCUUACCAGAAAGGGACGGCUAACUACGUG